GAUUUCAAUAAUGAGAGGCUUAUAGCUAGCAAUAACAAAUCAACAUUAGAGCGGAAGUCAUACAUUUUAGACGCAUAUAAUCCAGAAAUUAAUGAUGAAGUGUUUAGUGUAAAGAUUAGAUUUGAUUUUGAAAAAACGAACAAGG